rnacentral:rRNA from 1 species
CCUACGGGGGGCUCCAGUGAGGAAUAUUGGUCAAUGGGCGCGAGCCUGAACCAGCCAAGUCGCGUGAGGGAAGACGGUCCUAUGGAUUGUAAACCUCUUUUGUCGGGGAGCAAAAGACGCCACGCGUGGCGUUCCGAGAGUACCCGACGAACAAGCAUCGGCUAACUCCGUGCCAGCAGCCGCGGUAAUACGGAGGAUGCGAGCGUUAUCCGGAUUUAUUGGGUUUAAAGGGUGCGCAGGCGGAAGAUCAAGUCAGCGGUAAAAUUGAGAGGCUCAACCUCUUCGAGCCGUUGAAACUGGUUGUCUUGAGUGAGCGAGAAGUAUGCGGAAUGCGUGGUGUAGCGGUGAAAUGCAUAGAUAUCACGCAGAACUCCGAUUGCGAAGGCAGCAUACCGGCGCUCAACUGACGCUCAUGCACGAAAGUGUGGGUAUCGAACAGGAUUAGAUACCCCAGUAGUC